CCUACGGGAGGCAGCAGUGGGGAAUAUUGGGCAAUGGGGGGAACCCUGACCCAGCAACGCCGCGUGAGGGAAGAAGGUUUUCGGAUCGUAAACCUCUGUCCUUGGUGAAGAGGAAGAGACGGUAGCCAAGGAGGAAGCCCCGGCUAACUACGUGCCAGCAGCCGCGGUAAU
rnacentral:rRNA from 2 species